rnacentral:rRNA from 1 species
AUUGAACGCUGGCGGCAGGCCUAAAACAUGCAAGUCGAACGAGUGGCGGACGGGUGAGUCAUGUCUGGGAAACCUGUCGAUGGAGGGGGGUAACUACUGGAAACGGUAGCUAAUACCGCAUCCCAUCGGAUGUGCCCAGAUGGGAAUAGCUAGUGGGGGGGGUAACGGCUCACCUAGGCGACGAUCCCUAGCUGGUCUGAGAGGAUGACCAGCCACACGGGAACUGAGACACGGUCCAGACUCCUACGGGAGGCAGCAGUGGGGAAUAUUGCACAAUGGGCGCAAGCCUGAUGCAGCCAUGCCGCGUGUAUGAAGAAGGCCUUCGGGUUGUAAAGUACUUUCAGCGAGGAGGCGUUACUCGCAGAAGAAGCACCGGCUAACUCCGUGCCAGCAGCCGCGGUAAUUC